GCCUGGGUGGCUCAGUUGGUUGAGUGUCUGACUUCGGCUCAGGUCAUGAUCUCAGUUCGUGGGUUCGAGCCCCACAUCAGGCU
rnacentral:tRNA from 1 species